CGUGGAAGCGCGUGCAAGCUCAUUUUCAACCCUUUUGACUUCUGUUUUCCUAUUUUCCUCCUGAUUCCAAUCCUAACUCCAUUCUAUAUGAAAUAGGACCUAAUUGAGGAAAAUCACUAUCUUUUGAUACGCCAAUUGUGUGGAAACGCUGUGUUAGGGCAUGCAUCAUCCAAGUACGUGAGGCGUCGAGUCAAGAGAGGGCACGUUGAUCGAUGUGGGUUGUCACAGAGGAAGCGUGUCCCGGGGUGUCAGUCUAGUUUUACUGAAUAGUACACUUUGUCUUUCAUGUUUCUCUUCUUGUUUUUACCUAGACAAAUAUGUUCUUUUAGUAAUGAAACGUUUUUCUUACGAA